CCAAGAAAAAAACUAUAUUUUCUUCCCCAUCUUCUCCAUUACCAUCUCCAUUCAAUACCCUUCUCAGGCGCACCAAUUCCGCCCAACUCCUCAGCAAAGCCCAAUCCACCAUCUCCAUUUGUGCCCUCCUUGUUUUCUUCUCUCUCCUCCUCUUCACUCUCUCCACCUUCGAACCCACCACCACUCCUCGACGGCAACUCUCUUCAAUCAAAUUUUACAGACCCAAUUCUAAUUCUUUUCCACAAAAAUCUUCAAUUUCUCAUGCGUUACAGGGG
rnacentral:lncRNA from 1 species